AUCUAGAUGACGAGUUGAAAACAGGACGAAAUGCACGUCUUGAAU
rnacentral:hammerhead_ribozyme from 1 species